rnacentral:lncRNA from 1 species
UGAAAUUGAAAAUAAUUUUAGGAAAAAUAAGUGAAAAUUUGGGUUGGGCGGGUAUUUUUGAAAGAAAAUUUAAAAAUUGAGGGUCAUAACGCAAUUAAAGAAAAUUGCGCCACGUAGGACUGCCUAGUUAGCAACCUCGACGAACUGGAAUGCACUGCAUGGCAAGACACGCUGACUCAGUGCCACGUAGGAGGCCAUGCUAGCAAUCUGCAUGCCCCGGGAUCGGAAGGCCCGGAAGCGUUCCCACGUGCGUAGACGGUCUGGAUUUGUUCUCUCCUCAAGUGCAAUCGGAUAGCUGCUAUUAAAUGCGAAGAAUGGCCCAGCUUUGUUCCCUCUUUUAAUGCCAUUGUACG